rnacentral:rRNA from 1 species
UGGGGAAUAUUGGACAAUGGGCGAAAGCCUGAUCCAGCCAUGCCGCGUGAGUGACGAAGGCCUUAGGGUUGUAAAACUCUUUCGUCGGGGACGAUAAUGACGGUACCCGAAGAAGAAGCUCCGGCUAACUUCGUGCCAGCAGCCGCGGUAAUACGAAGGGAGCUAGCGUUGUUCGGAAUCACUGGGCGUAAAGCGCACGUAGGCGGAUAGUUAAGUCAGGGGUGAAAUCCUGGGGCUCAACCCCAGAACUGCCUUUGAUACUGGCUGUCUCGAGGUCGAGAGAGGUUGGUGGAAUUCCUAGUGUAGAGGUGAAAUUCGUAGAUAUUAGGAAGAACACCAGUGGCGAAGGCGGCCAACUGGCUCGAUACUGACGCUGAGGUGCGAAAGCGUGGGGAGCAAACAGGAUUAGAUACCCUCGUAGUCCCUGAGCGGGCUGGCAAGGCGCAU